rnacentral:lncRNA from 1 species
CUUUGUUCAUUCAGUUAAAAGGUCUUAACCUGAAGUUUCCCUGAGCAAGAUGAAAUUCUGUCUCCAGACAACAGCAUCAGCUUGGGCCGGUGAGUGUCCAGCUGCCAGCCUGCCCUGUGAAUCUCAGACUUGCUGGUCCCACAGUCAUGUAAGCCAGUUCCUCAAAACCUGUCUGUUUUAUUUUCUCUGUCCCACACACCCACAGUGUACUUACACAAAAAUGACUACCAUUCACAAGACAGUAAAAUAUCAUGAUGUCACUGUUGUAUGUACAGUCCAUCAUUGACAUCCUCUGAAACACGGUUAUGUGACAGUGACUUGUGUGUGUACACAUAUUGAGUCAUCUCAGAGACUCAAAGCCAGCUGUUCCAAGCCACCAACUAGUAAGUGGCAGAACUGGGAUGCUCAAGCCUUUUGAUUCCAGAACCCAAGUACUUCCCAAGGGCCCGGCUGCCUGCCUGUCUGUUGCGGCCUCGGGAGGGAAGCCAGUCUUUAGGGGUGGCCGUGAGGGUCAGAGAGAAUGUUAUAAAAGCACCAUAUUUCAUAAGCAUGAUGGGGUGGUGAAACGUUUUCUGAAAUAGCUGACAAAGAAAAUCAAGGCCCUGAGGUGUUCUGUUUGUUGACUACGCACUGUUCCUUAUGAUCUUGCCUCUCCUGUGCAGAGAACUCAACCCUUUUCACAUGGUCCACCUCUUCAAGUUACUAUUUCUGCUCACAUUCUUAAUUUAAUGGCUGCAAUCCCUCCUUCCAGAUAUCCAGGCUCCUUAAGGCAAGUCCACUAGAAACUAGAAGCAUAAACUUGAAUGACAGUGGACUGAAGGCAGACCCUAACCCUGGGGC